rnacentral:rRNA from 1 species
UACGUAGGGUGCGAGCGUUGUCCGGAAUUAUUGGGCGUAAAGAGCUUGUAGGCGGUCUGUCACGUCUGCUGUGAAAAUCCGGGGCUCAACCCCGGACUUGCAGUGGGUACGGGCAGACUAGAGUGUGGUAGGGGAGACUGGAAUUCCUGGUGUAGCGGUGAAAUGCGCAGAUAUCAGGAGGAACACCGAUGGCGAAGGCAGGUCUCUGGGCCACUACUGACGCUGAGAAGCGAAAGCAUGGGGAGCGAACAGG